GCUAACAGUUGGGUUUCUGUUUGCGUUAGCUUUCUGAUGUGGUGUCACAUUAUAUUUUGAUAUAAACACGCCAGCCGUGGUAUGUUAUCAUUGUAGCGGCUGGCUAGGUAACAUUAUAGUGUAAAUACAUAUCUCAAUAUUUCCUGUUACGUUAAAGAACGAGGGACGGUGGCUGAAAACCGGCGGAAAUAAAACAAAAAACAAAAGGAAAAGCCUAAGCUAGCUAUCCGGCUAAUUAAUCCGAAACGGGGAUCCAUGUGAGGAAACUGGUAAUGACUCGAGAGAAGAUGUAGCUUGAUAAAUAAAUAAGUGUUGGCCAGGAGAGGAGUGGAACCUUCUGGACCUGAGACCUGGAUUUGUUUACCUGGAAGAGUCAUCAGACAUCUUUUCCUCAAUGGAGAAAAAGGAGAAGAAGCCCAGCUACUUUGCCAGAAGAUUCAGCUUUCAUGAAAUGGCAGUUAUAGUACUUUGAGACACAGAUAGUAAAUUAGAUUGUUACUCUGUGCUCAUUUCAUUUAUGUUGAGAGCUGUUUUAAGUGUUUUGUCCUGGUGAGGAGAGAAAUAAUUUUAUAAGUUUAAGUUUUACAUCAUUCCACCGCCAAAAUACUCUAGGCUGAAAGCGGCAGUGUUUUACCAGUUGCAUCACCGUGGUUGUAGAAAGGACGAGUGAUUCUGUUGUUUCCGCUGCAGUCACUGUGGCUUCUUUGUAUUUUGACUUAAUGCAUUUAAUUUUGCAUUGGAACCAGGACUGAUUGUUUCCUUGCUCUGUUAUGGCCUGAUAAAGACAGCUGGGUUGUCGUCGUCGUCUCUUCCCCCCGCCCAUAUUUAUGUUUAAACAUAUGCA
ensembl:lncRNA